AUACGUAGGGGGCGAGCGUUGUCCGGAAUGAUUGGGCGUAAAGGGCGCGUAGGCGGCCGCUUAAGUCUGGAGUGAAAGUCCUGUUUUCAAGAUGGGAAUUGCUUUGGAUACUGGGGGGCUUGAGUGCAGGAGAGGUUAUCGGAAUUCCCGGUGUAGCGGUGAAAUGCGUAGAGAUCGGGAGGAACACCAGUGGCGAAGGCGGGUAACUGGACUGCAACUGACGCUGAGGCGCGAAAGUGUGGGGAGCAAACAGGAUUAGAUCCCCUGUUAGUCCACACUGUAAACGAUGAAUGCUAGGUGUAAGAGGUAUCGACCCCUUUUGUGCCGGAGUCAACACAAUAAGCAUUCCGCCUGGGGAGUACGGCCGCAAGGUUGAAACUCAAAUGAAUUGACGGGG
rnacentral:rRNA from 1 species